rnacentral:rRNA from 1 species
GACGAACGCUGGCGGCGUGCCUAAUACAUGCAAGUAGAACGCUGAAGGAGGAGCUUGCUUCUCUGGAUGAGUUGCGAACGGGUGAGUAACGCGUAGGUAACCUGCCUGGUAGCGGGGGAUAACUAUUGGAAACGAUAGCUAAUACCGCAUAAGAGUAGAUGUUGCAUGACAUUUGCUUAAAAGGUGCAAUUGCAUCACUACCAGAUGGACCUGCGUUGUAUUAGCUAGUUGGUGGGGUAACGGCUUACCAAGGCGACGAUACAUAGCCGACCUGAGAGGGUGAUCGGCCACACUGGGACUGAGACACGGCCCAGACUCCUACGGGAGGCAGCAGUAGGGAAUCUUCGGCAAUGGACGGAAGUCUGACCGAGCAACGCCGCGUGAGUGAAGAAGGUUGUCGGAUCGUAAAGCUCGGUUGUAAGAGAAGAACGAGUGUGAGAGUGGAAAGUUCACACUGUGACGGUAUCUUACCAGAAAGAGACGGCUAACUACGUG